UAAAGCGAAUAAGGGCGUAUGGCGGAUGCCUUGGCAUUGAGAGGCGAUGAAGGACGUGGUAAGCUGCGAUAAGCUUCGGGUAGGUGCAUACAACCGUUAAUCCGAAGAUUUCCGAAUGGGACAACCCACUAUGUUGAAGACAUAGUACUCGAAAGAGAGCCAACCUGGAGAACUGAAACAUCUAAGUACCCAGAGGAAAAGAAAAUAAUCUAAUGAUUCCCCAAGUAGUGGCGAGCGAACAGGGAAGAGCCUAAACUUAAGGAGCGUGCUCCUUGAGGGUUGUAGGACCUCAUUUAGAAACCAAUCUCAAAUUGAACCAUCUGGAAAGUUGGACCAUAGCAGGUGAUAGUCCUGUAGAUAGAAAUGAUUGGGGACGAGAGGUAUCCUGAGUAGCGCGGGACCGGAGAAAUCCUGCGUGAAUCUGCCAGCACCAUCUGGUAAGGCUAAAUACUCCUCAAUGACCGAUAGUGAACCAGUACCGUAAGGGAAAGGUGAAAA
rnacentral:rRNA from 1 species